rnacentral:misc_RNA from 1 species
UCGGCGUGGGUAUGGUGG